rnacentral:rRNA from 1 species
AGAGUUUGAUCAUGGCUCAGAACGAACGCUGGCGGCAGGCCUAACACAUGCAAGUCGAGCGCGCCCUUCGGGGUGAGCGGCGGACGGGUUAGUAACGCGUGGGAACGUGCCCUUCUCUAAGGAAUAGCCACUGGAAACGGUGAGUAAUACCUUAUACGCCCUUCGGGGGAAAGAUUUAUCGGAGAAGGAUCGGCCCGCGUUAGAUUAGAUAGUUGGUGGGGUAACGGCCUACCAAGUCUACGAUCUAUAGCUGGUUUUAGAGGAUGAUCAGCAACACUGGGACUGAGACACGGCCCAGACUCCUACGGGAGGCAGCAGUGGGGAAUCUUGGACAAUGGGCGCAAGCCUGAUCCAGCCAUGCCGCGUGAGUGAUGAAGGCCUUAGGGUCGUAAAGCUCUUUCGCCAGAGAUGAUAAUGACAGUAUCUGGUAAAGAAACCCCGGCUAACUCCGUGCCAGCAGCCGCGGUAAUACGGAGGGGGUUAGCGUUGUUCGGAAUUACUGGGCGUAAAGCGCACGUAGGCGGAUCAGAAAGUUGGGGGUGAAAUCCCAGGGCUCAACCCUGGAACUGCCUCCAAAACUCCUGGUCUUGAGUUCGAGAGAGGUGAGUGGAAUUCCGAGUGUAGAGGUGAAAUUCGUAGAUAUUCGGAGGAACACCAGUGGCGAAGGCGGCUCACUGGCUCGAUACUGACGCUGAGGUGCGAAAGUGUGGGGAGCAAACAGGAUUAGAUACCCUGGUAGU